rnacentral:lncRNA from 1 species
GAGAGAGGGAGAGGAGGAGGGGAGAGAGGGGGAGAGGGAGACAGGGAGAGGGGGGAAGGGGGAGAGGGAGGGAGAGGGAGAGGGAGAGGUGGCCACACUGAAAUCAGUGGGAUUCCAGGGGGCAUUGAAGCAACAUGCCUUUCAAACUGUGCAGGAAAAUCACUUCCAACUUAGAAUUCAUUCCUCAGGCAUGAGGUGCAGAUAAGGUAAAAUUAAAAGACUUUUAGAAAUGUAAGAUCUCUCUUGGGGCUGGCGCUGUGGCUUAGCGGGUUAAGCCUCCACCUUCAACACCGGCAUCCCACAGGGGCACUGGUUUGAGUCCUGGAUGCUCCACUUCCGAUCCAGCUCUCUGCUGUGGCCUGGGACAGCAGUGGACGAUGACACAAGUGCUUGGGCCCUGCACCCCAUGGGAGACCAGGAGAAGCACCUGGCUCCUGCCUUCGGAUCAGCGCGGUGCGCCAGCCGCAGCAGCCAUUGGAGGGUGAACCAAUGAAAAAAAAAAAAAAAGGAAGACCUUUCUCUCUGUCUCUCUCUCACUGUCCACUCUGCCUAUCAAAAAGAAAAAAAGACAGAGAGCAAGCACUGUUAGGACCCUGUGUGGAUACAGCCAGCUGCCACCUGUACUUCCACCGUAGGCACGUUCACCUCUCUUCGUCGUGUGGAUGGUUGGAGAUCCGACCUUCUCUGGGCCCCAGAAUUCCACCCACAGGCGUGCUCCCUGCGCGCGUGAACUCGCUGAGUCACCACGGCACAGGUGACAAUCAGCCUCACCCAGAAAACAAGAGACGACGGCUUGUUCCCUGUACAGACCCACGGUGUGAGGCUCUCACAACUGCACAGUGCCCGACUGAUUCCGGGGUGCCUGCUCGGAGCUCAGGCCGACCCAGACAGGCAGGCCAGGAGGAGGCAGCACGCGCCGCAGGGCGUCUACGGGGACACCGCCCAGGGCGCGACCCUGGCCAGCGCUCCGGCCGCCGCCCCCGCCCCGCCCCCGGGGGAGGGGGGCUCACGAGCACGCGUUCUGCUGGAUGUACAUCUUGGACAGGGACACGGCCAUGGACCUGGCCAGCUCCUCGUCGCGCUGCCGCUGCGCCUGCGUCUGCCGGCACCAGCGCUCGUACUCCGGGUUGGGGGUAGCAGCGGUCGAACACCGCGUCGUAGUGGCCGUUGCUGAGCCAGCUGAGCCAGAUGCUGGGCCUCAGGGCGUCCUCGGGGCCCCAGGUAGUGGACCAUGGUGGACACGGUGGGGCUCUCCCAGCGGCCCCCCGUCGUCAGGUGGAUGUUGAGGUUCAGCAUGCGCCCAUGGCCAGCAGCUCGGGGUAGCCGGCCCAGGCGCCGUCCUGCGCGGCGGCCACGGAGGAACUCGCCCACGUCGCCCUCGAUGAGCGGCCCGAAGUG